GAAAGCUGUGAUUCCACUCUCGUAGGGCCAUCACAGACCACAAGGGAGAGAGAGGCCCAGUGAAGGGAAGCAUGGGUCCCUGAGGAGCGGCUGGAGGCACUGGGCAAGGCAGAGACCGGUGCUGUGGAGGGAGGCUUGCCCCACGGAGGGGUGUCUGACACUCUGACGCUCUGGGUCAGGGAAGAACUGCUGGUCUUUGGAUGAAAGAAGUGGUAGCUGGAGACACCUCUCCGAUCUGAAAUGGAAGCAGUGAUCCUGAAGGGGACAGAGCAUCUCAGCUGUGGACAGAAGGGCCUGAUCCUGUGUCACAUAUGGGCAGCUGAGGCAAGAGAGAAACGUCUUUCUCUUACAUAUGUCACUAUUAUUUGGGGUCUUGGUUGCAGCAGGCCCCUUUCUACAAGCAAUGAACAUGUGAAUGGACAAAGACUACAGAGGCCCAGCCUUAACACCGCUCUACUUGACAUGGCACGGAAGGGACAUUGGGGCCAGAUGGGGGCCAGGGCUGGCUGUGGCCUCGGCCACACCUGAGGAGCCAGAAGUUGGGGUGCUGGGGAAGGGUGGGGCUGAGGGUGCCUGACUACUGUGCUCUGCCCGGGGAGUCUGCUCCAGGAUCAUCUGGAUGGAUGUUCUUCCCCCGGACUUCUGCCACCAGGUCUGCACUGCCAGAAUUCACCUGCCACCAGCUGCUUUUUUGUCUUUGGUGCCACGGGGGACA